CCGGCACGGGUGAGUAACGCGGUAUGCGACCUGCCCGUUGCAGGGGGGAUAAUCGGGAGAAAUCCCGUCUAAUACCGCGUAACGCCGCGGGGCUGCAUGGCCCUGCGGCCAAAGGGAGCGAUUCCGGCAACGGAUGGGCAUGCGUGACAUUAGCUAGUUGGCGGGGCAACGGCCCACCAAGGCGACGAUGUCUAGGGGUUCUGAGAGGAAGGUCCCCCACACUGGUACUGAGACACGGACCAGACUCCUACGGGAGGCAGCAG
rnacentral:rRNA from 1 species